UUUUCUCAUUCAGCUCCGGUGCUGCCAGCUUUGGCAAAUUUUCAAAAACAGUGUUGUACCUGGCUGUGAAAUGGCUAUUUGAGACUAAUCCUAAAUAUAUUUCUCGAUGACUUUUCUAGAAUCCCAUUCACCAUCCAGCGUCUGUGUGAACUCCUUAUGGACCCCAAGCGUAACUACACCGGGACAGACAAGUUUCUCAGGGGUUUGGAGAAGAAUGUAAUGGUGGUCAGCUGUGUCUAUCCCACAUCAGAG